AAAUUCUUAUUACCCAUCUGUGCUGAAGUGAGGUGAUUUUCUUUUGUCUGAAGCAUGUACAUAUUUAUCUGAAAGAAUUGGUGAAGAUUUCUUAAUAGUUUUGAAGUAUAAAGGGUACUUUUUUUAAAAUCAUAUUUUACAAAAUUAUAAAAACUUUUAUCAGGAUGUUACUAACCUCUUUGGAAGAAGUUUUUUCUAGUGUGGCUUCAAAAUAUUCUUACAACAUCAUGAAUAAUUUUAUGAUCUUAUUUAAUAUUCUGGAUCCGUGCGUAAUCUCUGAUGAAGGAAAUGUGAAUUACUGAAUAUGAAAACAAUUUACCUACACACUUCCUCGCACAUUCCCGGAAAUGGCCGUAAGAAUCUUUCGUAUAUAUUGGAUUCGUUUGAAAACUUGUCUUUCGGUUAUUAUGAACCGUCAUCUCAUCAGCUUGAGACCUUUUGAUUCGUGUGUAUGUGUAUAUGCAAUUCUUCAUCCGACUUUGAUUUGGUCACGCUGUAUGUUCGCAUAUUUAUAAUGGCUUAUAUAUACCCUCUGUGUUUAAAUAAAUGUCGGCUUUGAUGAGGAUUAUUAUCGACCUGAAAA